UUUGAUCCUGCCUCAGGACGAACGCUGGCGGCGUGCUUACCACAUGCAAGUCGAACGAAUGAACUUCAGUGGACCUCUUCGGAAAGAAACAGAAAUGAUUUAGUGGCGAACGGGUGAGUAACACGUGAGAAACCUGCCUAUCACAAGGGGAUAGCCUCCGGAAACGGUGAUUAAUACCCUAUGACAUCACAAUAUCGCAUGGUAUAGUGAUCAAAGAUUUAUCGGUGAUAGAUGGUCUUGCGGCUGAUUAGCUAGUUGGUAAGGUAACUGCUUACCAAGGCAACGAUCAGUAUCCGGCUUGAGAGGGUGAACGGCCACACUGGAACUGAGACACGGUCCAGACUCCUACGGGAGGCAGCAGUGGGGAAUUUUGCACAAUGGGGGAAACCCUGAUGCAGCGACGUCGCGUGAACGAUGAAGGCCUUCGGGUUGUAAAGUUCUGUCCUUGGCGAAGAUAAUGACAGUAGCCAAGAAGCAAGCCCCGGCUAAAUACGUGCCAGCAGCCGCGGUAAUACGUAUGGGGCGAGCGUUGUCCGGAAUUAUUGGGCGUAAAGGGUACGUAGGCGGUUAUGUGGGUCCGUAUUAAAAGGCAUUGGCUCAACCAAUGUUCGGUGUGGAAACUGCAUAACUUGAGUAGAUGAGGGGUAAGUGGAAUUCCUAGUGUAGCGGUGAAAUGCUUAGAUAUUAGGAGGAAUACCAGUGGCGAAGGCGACUUACUGGAAUCUAACUGACGCUGAGGUACGAAAGCGUGGGGAGCAAACAGGAUUAGAUACCCUGGUAGUCCACGCCGUAAACGAUGAGUGCUAGGUGUCGGGGGUCAAACCUCGGUGCCGUCGUAACACAGUAAGC
rnacentral:rRNA from 1 species